UACGGAGGGUGCGAGCGUUAAUCGGAAUUAUUGGGCGUAAAGGGUGCGUAGGUGGUUGAAUAAGUUAUCUGUGAAAACCCUGGGCUUAACUUGGGGGAGAGAGAUAAAACUGUCUGACUAGAGUAUGGGAGAGGGUAGUGGAAUUUCCGGUGUAGCGGUGAAAUGCGUAGAGAUCGGAAGGAACACCGGUGGCGAAGGCGGCUACCUGGCCUAAUACUGACACUGAGGCACGAAAGCGUGGGGAGCAAACAGG
rnacentral:rRNA from 1 species